rnacentral:rRNA from 1 species
GCCUUAUGCAUGCAAGUCGAACGGUCUCGAUUUAUCGGGAUAGUGGCAAACGGGUGAGUAACGCGUAAGUAACCUGCCCCUAAGUAAAGAAUAACUCUGAGAAAUUGGAGCUAAUACUUUAUGUGCUCAUAGGGUGAUGCUCUAUUAGUAAAGCCUCAGGGCGCUUAGGGAUGGGCUUGCGUCCGAUUAGCUAGUUGGUGGGCUAAUGGCUCACCUAGGCUGUGAUCGGUAGCUGGUUUGAGAGAAUGGUCAGCCACACUGGGAUUGAGAUACGGCCCAGACUCCUACGGGAGGCAGCAGCAAGGAAUUUUGUGCAAUGGGCGAAAGCCUGACACAGCGACGCUGCGUGGGGGAUGAAGGCUUUCGGGUUGUAAACCCCUUUUCCCAGGGAAGAAUAAUGACGGUACCUGAGGAAGAAGUCACGGCUAACUACGUGCCAGCAGCCGCGGUAAUACGUAGGUGGCAAGCGUUAUCCGGAUUUACUGGGCGUAAAGAGGGCGCAGGCGGUUCUUCAAGUCGGAUGUAAAAUCUCCCGGCUUAACUGGGAGGGAUCAUCCGAUACUGUUGGGCUAGAGGGUAGCAGAGGGAGGUGGAAUUCCCGGUGUAGUGGUGAAAUGCGUAGAUAUCGGGAGGAACACCAGUGGCGAAGGCGGCCUCCUGGGCUGUUGCUGACGCUGAGGCCCGAAAGCGUGGGGAGCAAACAGGAUUAGAUACCCUGGUAGUCCACGCCAUAAACUAUGGACACUAGGUAUAGGGAGUAUCGACCCUCUCUGUGCCGAAGCUAAAGCUUUAAGUGUCCCGCCUGGGAACA